rnacentral:pre_miRNA from 1 species
UAUGGCUUUUCAUUCCUAUGUGAUUGCUUUUCCCAACUCAUGUAGGGCUAAAAGCCAUGGG